ACGAAGAGUUGGAUUCCUUAAUCAAAGCUACAAUUGCUGGUGGUGGUGUCAUUCCACAUAUUCACAAGUCACUCAUCGGCAAGAAGGGCACACAGAAAACGGCUUAAAGUGUUCAUGUGAGAAAAUUCUUGGAGCUGAACAAAAGACUCUACCUAAAUGUUGUGCAAAAGUUGAUAUAUAGAGAGACUAUGACUUAAUAUAACUUAGCAGACAUUUUUAUCCUCAUCUUUCACCUCAUCAACUCCCAUUUCUUUUUAUUUUAAUAGUACAGUGUCAGUGUUUUUGUCGAGUUUUAUUAUUAUUCAUGUCCAUUUAUCAUAAAUAAAUUUUAAAAACC
rnacentral:misc_RNA from 1 species